GAGUUUGAUCCUGGCUCAGGAUGAACGCUAGCGACAGGCCUAACACAUGCAAGUCGAGGGGUAACAGAUGAAGAGCUUGCUCAGAUUGCUGACGACCGGCGCACGGGUGAGUAACACGUAUGCAACCUACCUUUUACAGAGGGAUAGCCCAGAGAAAUUUGGAUUAAUACCUCAUAAUAUUUUUAGCUCGCAUGAGUUUUAAAUUAAAACUUCGGUGGUAAAAGAUGGGCAUGCGUUCUAUUAGUUUGUUGGUGAGGUAACGGCUUACCAAGACUACGAUAGAUAGGGGUUCUGAGAGGAUUUUCCCCCACACUGGUACUGAGACACGGACCAGACUCCUACGGGAGGCAGCAGUAAGGAAUAUUGGGCAAUGGUCGAAAGACUGAACCAGCCAUGUCGCGUGAAGGAUGACGGCCCUAUGGGUUGUAAACUUCUUUUGUAUGGGAAGAAAAGCAGUUACGUGUAAUUGUCUGCCGGUACCAUACGAAUAAGGAUCGGCUAACUCCGUGCCAGCAGCCGCGGUAAUACGGAGGAUCCAAGCGUUAUCCGGAUUUAUUGGGUUUAAAGGGUGCGUAGGCGGGAAGAUAAGUCAGUGGUGAAAUCUCUCGGCUCAACCUCGAACGUGCUAUUGAAACUGUAGAGCUUGAGUACAGACGGUAGGCGGAAUGUGUAAUGUAGCGGUGAAAUGCUUAGAUAUUACACAGAACACCAAUUGCGAAGGCAGCUUACUAAACCGUUACUGACGCUGAGGCACGAAAGCGUGGGGAGCGAACAGGAUUAGAUACCCUGGUAGUCCACGCCGUAAACGAUGAUUACUCGUUGUGUGCGAUAUAUUGUACGCGACUAAGCGAAAGUAUUAAGUAAUCCACCUGGGGAGUACGUCGGCAACGAUGAAACUCAAAGGAAUUGACGGGGGCCCGCACAAGCGGAGGAACAUGUGGUUUAAUUCGAUGAUACGCGAGGAACCUUACCUGGGUUUAAAUGUAGAUUGCAUGAUCGGGACUGAUCUUUCCUUCGGGACUAUUUACAAGGUGCUGCAUGGUUGUCGUCAGCUCGUGCCGUGAGGUGUCGGGUUAAGUCCCAUAACGAGCGCAACCCCUAUCGUUAGUUGCCAUCAGGUCAUGCUGGGGACUCUAACGAUACUGCCAUCGUAAGAUGAGAGGAAGGUGGGGAUGACGUCAAAUCAGCACGGUUCUUACGUCCAGGGCUACACACGUGUUACAAUGGCCGGUACAGAGGGCAGCUACAUAGCGAUAUGAUGCGAAUCUCCAAAGCCGGUCUUAGUUCGGAUCGGAGUCUGUAAUUUGACUCCGUGAAGUUGGAUUCGCUAGUAAUCGGAUAUCAGCCAUGAUCCGGUGAAUACGUUCCCGGGCCUUGUACACACCGCCCGUCAAGCCAUGGAAGCUGGGGGUGCCUGAAGUCUGUAACCGCAAGGAGCGGCCUAGGGCAAAACUGGUAACUAGGGUUAAGUCGUAACAAGGUAGCC
rnacentral:rRNA from 1 species